rnacentral:lncRNA from 1 species
GAAACAGCAAUUGGGUUCAUUAUGCUGCCCUUUGGAUGGAAGAGAUGAAGGCUGAGCUCACUGUGGAGGAGAAAACAUAGAGAAGGUGGCGAUGAGUCAUUUCAAAGGAGAAGCCGGUGUAUUUAGUGACUGGCUGCAGAAGAUGAAGGACAGGGAUGAGUCGGUGGCCAUGCUGAGUGCCUGUUGAGUGAUAGCUGCUAUCGGAGUGCACUUUUCUUCGGUCAAAUAAAACAGAACACAGGCACUGCAGUCAGACCGAGCAGGAUUGAAAUUCAUGUGACACAGAGCUGCAGAAGAGCUAAGAAGGUAGCAGUACUUCCAUCAUGUUAUUGGUCCCUGGGUAACAGCAGCAUUUUUCCGACUCAUGGCACUAGUUGUAUUGGUGAAAUGGCAUCUACCACCUGCUUCCUCCCUGGAAUGUCUCCAGCCCUUUUAAAGUUUUGAGUUUGAGGUGAAGAUAAGGAGCUGAGACAAGGGAAAAAGCCUAGCCACCUAUUAAAUCGGAGCCAACGAGAGACUAAAUACAUGAAAAGAACAACCUAAUAAACACAAUAAAGAGCAUAACACAGCC